AUUGAACGCUGGCGGCAUGCUUUACACAUGCAAGUCGAACGGCAGCACGGGGGCAACCCUGGUGGCGAGUGGCGAACGGGUGAGUAAUGCAUCGGAACGUGUCCUUAAGUGGGGGAUAACGCAUCGAAAGAUGCGCUAAUACCGCAUAAUCUCCGAGGAGAAAAGCAGGGGAUCGCAAGACCUUGCGCGUUUGGAGCGGCCGAUGUCUGAUUAGCUAGUUGGUGGGGUAAUGGCUUACCAAGGCUUCGAUCAGUAGCUGGUCUGAGGGGACGACCAGCCACACUGGGACUGAGACACGGCCCAGACUCCUACGGGAGGCAGCAGUGGGGAAUUUUGGACAAUGGGGGAAACCCUGAUCCAGCCAUGCCGCGUGAGUGAAGAAGGCCUUCGGGUUGUAAAGCUCUUUCAGCCGGAACGAAAUGGUCACGGCUAAUACCCGUGACAAAUGACGGUACCGGAAGAAGGAGCACCGGCUAACUACGUGCCAGCCGCCGCAGUAAAAC
rnacentral:rRNA from 1 species